rnacentral:rRNA from 1 species
UACGAAGGGGGCUAGCGUUGUUCGGAAUCACUGGGCGUAAAGCGCACGUAGGCGGAUCCUUAAGUCAGGGGUGAAAUGCCGGGGCUCAACCCCGGAACUGCCUUUGAUACUGGGGAUCUCGAGUCCGGGAGAGGUGAGUGGAAUUGCGAGUGUAGAGGUGAAAUUCGUAGAUAUUCGCAAGAACACCAGUGGCGAAGGCGGCUCACUGGCCCGGUACCGACGCUGAGGUGCGAAAGCGUGGGGAGCAAACAGG